ensembl:lncRNA
UUUUUUCUCUAAAUACAGCUGUUGAAGGGCCACUCACAUUCUGUCCUUCCCUAACACCUGAGCUGCAGCCUCUGCAGUUGCGUGAUCAAUCGUACACGGCUCUUUUCCACAGUAUUUAAAUCCUGACCCAGAGCUGUGCCACAAAGGAGCUGGGGAUUUGGACAGUUGCCUUUUCUACAGAACCCGCGUUCACUGACACGGGUGGGAGGUGGGAGGGCUGUGGGAUCGGGCGCUGCGUCACCCACUUCCUUUCCCUGUGUGCCGUCUGCUCUUCCCUUUCCUGCGCCUUGGAACUAACACCACCACCUGGGAAACUGGUUUUCAUUUCAUUGGUGAGAGAUGGCAAAAGUGGUUUCCACAAGGUUGUCCUGCUUUGUACCCUCACUGUGCCUGGCGAGGAGGGAGGGAAAGAGGAGAGCAGACCGAGCUUUGGGGACAGCAGGUCAGGAUUUAGCAGGUGAGCAGGAGCAGUGAGCGCUCGGUGCCACGUGCGAGAGCCAGGUCAGCUCUGGGAAGGGUGCGUGCAUUCUGACGGCAGAGCUGGGAGGGCGUCCUGGGCAUCUGGUGCCGAGAAAGGGAGCAGGCGUGAAGAGAGAGAAGUUGUGGGACACACACAGCAUUCGCUGUGCGCAUCUGGAGAGAGGGCGAGGCUCCGCUUAGACCUGUUGGUCUAAAAUAAAUAAAUACUGAACUGUGCCUCUCACACCCUCCGUGUGGGCCGCCCGCUCUCAGGUUCACUGCGCAAGCAGACCCCAGCGUCCAGAGCUCGGAGGGCAGGACCCUGUGCGGAGGACCAGUGGCAGUGGGCGACAGCGAACAGCACGCAGAUGCUGGUGCCUCCUCGGUCCCCUUCUGUCCUCCCAUCGCUCACCCUCAUAUCUGUGAAGUCACCUCCAUGUGCAGUUGCCAAGGGAUUUUUCAAAUGAACUGACACGUUUGUGAAACCCAGGAGGCCUGCUUGACGCAGACCCUAAGUAGACUGGUGCCGGACGGGCAGGUUGCCCGGCCUGCAUGGUCAUGCGGCUGGACAGGCAGGUCUGGGCUCUGGCUCGAGGGCCACGUGGGCAGGUGCCCCAGUUUUGCAGGCGGGCACCCUGCUCCAGGACCCGGCUCCGUGUGUUGAAUGGUCUCACCUUCCUGGCUCCAAUCGCAGACACCCUCCUGGAAUGAAAAAGCUCAUCCUCUUAAAAGGAAGCCGGAAGCAGGCGUGUCCGUGUGAGCUCCGGAGCACCUCCUGCGUGAGGGUCGCUGCCGCGUCCGCGCUCUCACAGCCCACAAACAACAGACGGCAGCUGGUCACCGGGCCCAUGGUGGUGGGGAACGUGAGCUGCUGCGGGGAGAGGAGAGGUCAGCAGGGAGGGGCAGGAGAAGCCUCGUCUGAGAAGGUGCUGGAGGCUCUUCCCAGGCAGAGGGUCUUUCCUUCUCCAAUGCAUGAAAGUGAAAAGUGAAAGUGAAGUCACUCAGUCGUGUCUGACUCUUAGUGACCCCAUGGACUGCAGCCCACCAGGCUCCUCCAUCCAUGGGAUUUUCAAGGCAAGAGUGCUGGAGGAGGGUGCCAUUGCCUUCUCUGAAGGGCAGCCAGAGAGCUCCUUCCCGGGAAGCAGGAGGGAGGAAGCCUGAGGUGUGGGGAGCACGCCGAGUCCUCGCGGGAUCCGCUGAUUUGAGGGUCCCAGGACUGCCCCCACUGUGCUGUGGGAAUUGAUCUUAUGGGUGACAGAGAAGGAGAGCGCGUGUGAGUGGGGAUCAUGCCAGUACAGCUGAAACCAGAGCAGAGGGUGCCCAGCCACCCCGACUGUGUGGCCACGUAGAGACCCGGAAGAGGAGCAUCUCUGUUUCCAUGACGACGCCGGCCUGGUGCAGGAAGUGCACUGGCCCCAUAUCCCAGCCACGGGCCCGGCCCUGGCCUCAAUGACGCCACCGCCCGGCAGGCUGGCCGCUCUCCAGCACCGCAGCUGGACCCAGAGCAACACCCCUGGCUGGGGUCUGGUGCUCAGAGCAUUUCGCAGACAGGACACAGUGCCCGUGGCCAGAGGGAGCACGCGGGGCAGAGCGGAGCAGUGGGUGGGGCCGAGAGGAGCAAGCUUCAUGGGACGCCUGUGCCGCGGGGCUCUGGGUGGCCUCACCCAGACGGUGCUCCCGAACACGCAGGCCACGUACACACCCCACUGCAUCUCGCACACACACGUGCAGACACACGCACACACAUACAUGCACACGCACACACAGGCACACCCAGGCACGUGUGCGUUCACACACGCACACACAGGCACACACUGCUUUACGUCCUCUCCACAUUCCCUUUCCCAACGGCCCCAGGUGCUCAGGCCUCCCAGCGUCCACUCCUGGAGACGCCACCUCCAGUGCCCCCCC